UACGAAGGGUGCAAGCGUUAAUCGGAAUUACUGGGCGUAAAGCGCGCGUAGGCGGCUGUCUAAGUCGGGUGUGAAAAGCCCCGGGCGUCAACCUACGGGAACGUAGCAUUCGUAUACUGGACGGCUAGAGUAUGAGAGAGGGAGGUAGAAUUCCACGUGUAGCGGUGAAAUGCGUAGAUAUGUGGAGGAAUACCGGUGGCGAAGGCGG
rnacentral:rRNA from 1 species